AGUGAACGCUGGCGGUAGGCCUAACACAUGCAAGUCGAACAGCAGCACAGUAAGAGCUUGCUCUUACGGGUGGCGAGUGGCGGACGGGUGAGGAAUACAUCGGAAUCUACUUUUUCGUGGGGGAUAACGUAGGGAAACUUACGCUAAUACCGCAUACGACCUACGGGUGAAAGCAGGGGAUCUUCGGACCUUGCGCGAUUGAAUGAGCCGAUGUCGGAUUAGCUAGUUGGCGGGGUAAAGGCCCACCAAGGCGACGAUCCGUAGCUGGUCUGAGAGGAUGAUGAGCGACACUGGAACUGAGACACGGUCCAGACACCUACGGGAGGCAGCGGUGGGGAAUAUUGGACGAUGGGGGGAAGCCUGAUCCAGCCAUACCGGGUUGAUGAAGAAGGCCUUCGGGUUGUAAAGCCGUUUUGUUGUGAAAGAAAAGCAGCGGGUUAAUACCCGGCUGUUCUGACGGUACCCAAAGAAGAAGCACCGGCUAACUUCGUG
rnacentral:rRNA from 1 species